rnacentral:rRNA from 1 species
GGCAAGUAGGCAGGAGGACAUAUCAUAAGCGGAGGAGCAUAUCAAUAAGCGGAGGAGCAUAUCAAUAAGCGGAGGAGCAUAUCAAUAAGCGGAGGAGCAUAUCAAUAAGCGGAGGAACAUAUUCAUUGGCGGAGGAACAUUUCUAUCAGCGGAAGAUUUCAUCAACGGAUCGCGUGGCUCUCGCAUCGAUGAAGAACGCAGCGAAAUGCGAUAAGUAAUGUGAAUUGCAGAAUUCAGUGAAUCAUCGAAUCUUUGAACGCACCUUGCGCUCUCUGGUAUUCCGGAGAGCAUGCCUGUUUGAGUGUCAUGAAAUCUUCAACCCUCUCUUUUCUUAAUGAAUCGAGAGGUGCUUGGAUCCUGAGCGCUGCUGGCUUCGGCCUAGCUCGUUCGUAAUGCAUUAGCAUCCGCAAUCGAACUUCGGAUUGACUUGGCGUAAUAGACUAUUCGCUGAGGAUUCUGGUCUCGUACCAGAGCCGGGUUGGGUUAAAGGAAGCUUCUAAUCAUAAAAUUCUAACUUUUUAUUAAAUA